GACGAAAGUCUGACCGAGCAACGCCGCGUGAGUGAAGAAGGUUUUCGGAUCGUAAAGCUCUGUUGUAAGUCAAGAACGUGUGUGAGAGUGGAAAGUUCACACAGUGACGGUAGCUUACCAGAAAGGGACGGCUAACUACGUGCCAGCAGCCGCGGUAAUACGCAGGUCCCGAGCGUUGUCCGGAUUUAUUGGGCGUAAAGGGAGCGCAGGCGGUCAGGAAAGUCUGGAGUAAAAGGCUAUGGCUCAACCAUAGUGUGCUCUGGAAACUGUCUGACUUGAGUGCAGAAGGGGAGAGUGGAAUUCCAUGUGUAGCGGUGAAAUGCGUAGAUAUAUGGAGGAACACCAGUGGCGAAAGCGGCUCUCUGGUCUGUCACUGACGCUGAGGCUCGAAAGCGUGGGUAGCGAACAGGAUUAGAUACCCUGGUAGUCCACGCCGUAAACGAUGUGUGCUAGGUGUUAGGCCCUUUCCGGGGCUUAGUGCCGGAGCUAACGCAAUAAGCACUCCGCCUGGGGAGUACGACCGCAAGGUUGAAACUCAAAGGAAUUGACGGGGGCCCGCACAAGCGGUGGAGCAUGUGGUUUAAUUCGAAGC
rnacentral:rRNA from 1 species